CUUCAUGUUCCCGUAGUGCAUGAUGGCUCCCGUCAGCUUGUAGACGCCAGCUUUCUCCUCUGAAGUGAAGCCCAGCACGUCAAAGGCACUCUGGGACAGAGCGAGAGACAAAGAGGGGGGUUGGAGCGGUGGCCCCAGGAGCUCCUGGGGUCCCUCGAACGGCCGCAGCAGCCCCCUCACUCACAUCGGUGGCCAUGAGCUCCUCGGAGUCAUCAAUGGAGGCCACGGACACCUCUCCCUGAGACACGAAGGCGUAGUCGUAGGGAUUGUUGGUGACCAGCAGCAUGUCUGCACCAGGCAAGGGGCUGGAUGAGGCCACUGGGAGUGGUCAAAGGCACUCACAAAGCGGGAGGAGUUGUCGUUCCGGACAGUCUUGGCAUUGCCGAAGGCCUCCAGAGCGGGGUUGGCCUGGAUGAUCUGGUCCUCCAGGGUGCCCUAUGAAAGGAGCAGAACUGCAUGGGUUCAUCCUCCAUCCACCUCCAGGCAGUGGUGAGAGGGCAGGGAGGCUGCCCUGGCCCUGAGGAAUGGGGGUGCGGGGCUGGGUGAACCGCUAGUGGGUCUGCGACUCCACAGGAUCCUACCCAGACCUCAGGGUGAGUGUCUCCUGUCAGGAAGGUCUUCCAUACUGGGCUGACCAUCGGGAGCCCAGCUCAGUGUGGCUGUCCCCACCACGUCACAGGGAGGGGAGGGUUAGGGGUAACUCGGGUCAGCCUGCCCCCCAACCCCUGUUCUGCCGAGCCUGUGUCCCCCAUGGCACCUUGUUCGCAUUGGCAUUGUCCUUCUUGCCACGGUCACCUAUGGCUGCAAUGCUGGCAAAGUACUGGAUGACACGCUUGGUGUUCACAGUCUUCCCCGCCCCGGAUUCUCCCCUGGGGGCCACAGAGACCAAUCAAAACUCAGGAUUCCUACUGUUCUCCAUACAGGGCUCAGCAUCACAUGCUCCCCUUCCCAGCCUGGCCAUCAGAGCCCAGCACCCAGCAGGAUUUGCCUGACAUGGUUCAUUGCUCUGGCACCCCUCUAAUGAGAGCUCAGUGCCCCAUGCUCCCUGCAAUCCCAGCCUUAAACCUCUCCUCCCAACUACACCCUAGGCAUCAGCGUGUAUGCCCCCAGCCCAGUCCCUUCUGUGGGAGGAUGGCACUCGCUCACGUGAUGAGGAUGGACUGGUUCUCCCGAUCUGGAAGAAAAAAGAGGAGAAGCAAUGGGGUCAGGGCUGAGGAUCUGGGUGGGUGUCUGGGAGGAGGAGCAGAGACCAGGGGCCA
rnacentral:lncRNA from 1 species